rnacentral:tRNA from 1 species
AUUUAAAUAGUUUAAUUAAAAUAUUGAUUUGUGGUAUCAAAGAUAUAAUAAGUAUUUUUA